GUGCUGAGGUACCCGUGCAGCGAAGCCGAUGACUCCUGUUGUCACUGAUAAAGAUCCACGUGGAAGUGUGGCAUGUUUUUUUUUUUUUAGAGGCAGUGCGCUGUAUCCGCACCCAGGCUCUUGGUGAUGACAAAGGUUUUUCAAGAGCUGUGCGUGGCGGAAAAUUUUACCAGGACUGAAUUCCCAUGUUAUUAAAACGGGAGCAGCGUCAGCCCUCAGUACGCACAAUGGUUAUUUGUGUUUCCCUGAUCCGUUAAUGGGCGAUGAGGUGACGUGACGUGGCGGUGAGGGCUGCUGCCACUGGGGUUGCUUGUGGGAAGACACCCGGACACCCGGGGAAAAAAACACACGCAGGACGGACAUGCAGACACCACGCACGAGUUUGGGAACUGAAUGGAGGAGCCAAGAGCUGUCAGUUUGCAUAAAUGAAGAUACACGGGUUUUGCUCUGUCCAGAUUGAAUUAUGCUACUAUUCUGCCACCAUCAGCAGAGUAAUACUGUAGGUGCUUUCCACUGUGGAAUUAACUACAGUAGAUGCUCUCCAAGGGGGCUGGGAUCAUGGUUACUGUUGUACACAGAGGACAGAGUUUGCGCUACAGCAGAAAAGGAAAUGUUGAGACUGAACCCUCUGCUAUUGCAGUAGUUAUGUCAGCUGGACUAUUUUUAAAAACCUCUUCCACAACUGACAAAGGAUCACAUACAGUAGACAUACUCCCACCUUAGAGCUUAGUCUGGGUUUGAAGAUUUCUCUCCAUUAUAGAACCUAGAAAUUAAUGCUGUAUAACAUAUGUCCUUUUAUUGAUUGGUUCUGGGUUCUUUCACACUCCACACUCCUCCUAAUACACAACAAGCAAUAUUCAUAUUGAAUUUGUCAUUCCAGUUUAACAGCAGUUUUUCAAUCUCCUCAUAUUUCAGAAUCAAAGAGAAAUGUUUGGCUUGGCUGUAAGAACUCUUAGAUGGGUGCCCUGAAUAAUUUAUGUCACCUUUCCAAACUUGCUACUACUAUAUAAAGAAAAAAGGUAACAGUUAUGAGCUCAACAGAAGUAAAUGUUUUAUGAAUAUGGCUUGAGCCUCUGUUUCCGUGCCUGGUUGGAGGUCUGGUGCAUCAGGAUGUAAUUUGAGCAAAAAUCUGACAUACAGAAAUGGGAUUUAUGAUCGAACAGAGACAUAUUGUUAUAAAAUAACAAUAUUUUAUUGCUGACAGUAUUGGACUGUCGUCCAGCAGUAAAGAAAAUGAGAAUACACUGAGCCUCAAAACUGAAAAACUGAUAGUGGGAGGGUGCCUUAUAAAUCGCAUAUUGCCAGUGUGCAUAAUCAUCUUUGAUAUUGGAGAAGGGCUAUUCUGUAGUGCUUUAAUACAAUCAGUACAAACAUCUGCAGGAGAUCAUCUGGAAGGGGUGAACUUUUUACAGCCCUGAGAAUCACAAAGUCAGUCAAAUCUGAUCUCACAGGCUAAGAAAGGCUGGGCAUCGUCAGUGCUGGGGUGGGAGACCUGCAGCCAGGGGGUGUUGAUGGACCCAUAGGUGGAGUGGAAUGUAAAAACACAUCACCAGUCCUUCAGUUACGUCGGCACGAUCUUUAACGGCAAAGAGCUAGAAGAUUCUAAUGACUUUAAAGACCAGCUUUGGUGUAUCUCAGGAGCUCCACUUUUCUAAAGCCUUUCUUUAUUGCAGCACCAAUCUUUGUAUUAUAAAUGUAUUAUACAUUUAUAAAACAAAGGUCUGUUGCUAUCCCCCCAGAAUUCAGCGCUACAUAAAUAUAGUCUCCAUGUGCAGAAUGUGUCCCUGCAUAUUAUAUCCUGGGUAUUAUAUUGUUCCCAAGCAAGAAAAGAUGAAAAAUAAAGGAAAACAGAGGCUGGAGUUGUAUAUGCUUAUACGGACAGUGUACAUGUACUAAUGAUAGAGAUAUAGUCGCACACAGCAUUGUCUACAUACUGUACAUACUGGUCAACAGCAAACAAAGUUUAGGGUGAGUUGAACCCAGGACAGUGGAACACUGUUGGAGCAGUGGGGGCCACUGUGACAUCCUACAACCCCCAGAAAUAAAUAUUCCUUGUUUUUAAUGUUGACAAAAGCCAUCUCUCCUCAGAAAAUAAAAGGCGAUAUGAGUGAACACUAUUUUCUUGAAACCUAUCCAAAACUGAUUCAGAAAGGAUGCUACUAGUGAAGGCGCUCACGUCUCUAGCUCUCCAUAACCGUAAUAUGCAUGGCUAAAAUGAACAGAAGCAAACAGUGGGACAUCAAUUAGGUAUAGUAAUUAGGUAUUGCCCCCUGUAAUAAACUGUAAACACGGAAAGAGACACGUGCAGUUACAGAAAUGUACCAAAAGAGGGCAGUACAGCACUUCGUUCUGUUUGGCGGCUGUCUGUCUGACAAGAGGCCUUGUUAUUCUUGGAAAAUGAAUUACUCUCACCACAAAAGGGUUCCUGGAACAAACUAAAUCAAUUUUUAAAAUAGUCCUGGUAAGACCCUAAUAAAUAGGGAAUGGUACAUACUCAGGUAUUAUUUUUGUUCCACAGAAAACCACCUGAUCCUCUUAGUCAGAAUAAGACAGAAUUCACACUAAUAUUCUAACAGUCCAUGGUUUGGAGUAUACUGUA